rnacentral:tRNA from 1 species
UGUCCAGGGGCGGGAAUCGAACCCACAAUCUUCUGCUUACCGGGCAGGUGCCAUGUCCACUAGGCACCUGCC